GGGAAGGAUUGUUGGAGCUGCUCCAUCUGCUGAGAGACCAAAGUCUCUUCAUAGGAGUUUCCUAAGAAACAUCAGACCCCAAAACCAACAGAGCCAAUUGUGUGAUCCUUAUGAUCAAGCAACAUGACUCUCUAGUGAUACAAGGCAGCUUUUGUUUACAGACUGUGUUUUGUAUGCGUCCUGUCAAAUUAAGUCAGCGAACACAUCCACUGCCUAAAGCCGCCACGGUCCUGGCACGGGGUCGAGCAGGCAAGUAAAGCAUGUGGGGGAAGGGAGUAGCGCUGAAACCCUAUGAAUGUUUCAUCUCUUCCAGCCGCGAGUCCUCAUCACAAGUGUGAGAGCCAGGCGAGGAGGCAUCCAUCCCCCUUUAUCCUUGAAAUUACAGUGAAGGCAAGACAGAAAAAGGCAGAAGGAAUAUUUUUGAAGAACCUAAAGCCGAUAUGCCCCUCUAGCACUCAAGAGAUGCCUAUGGAAGUUCUCGAUGCAUACAUUAGAUUUUGCUGCAUGAAUCUUCUUAAACUUCAUAUCUGCCUGCAUUCUGGGAGUUUGGCGUAG
rnacentral:lncRNA from 1 species